rnacentral:rRNA from 1 species
GACGAACGCUGGCGGCGUGCCUAAUACAUGCAAGUUGAGCGCUGAAGGUUGGUCCUUGUACCAACUGGAUGAGCAGCGAACGGGUGAGUAACGCGUGGGGAAUCUGCCUUUGAGCGGGGGACAACAUUUGGAAACGAAUGCUAAUACCGCAUAAAAACUUUAAACACAAGUUUUAAGUUUGAAAGAUGCAAUUGCAUCACUCAAAGAUGAUCCCGCGUUGUAUUAGCUAGUUGGUGAGGUAAAGGCUCACCAAGGGGAUGAUACAUAGCCGAACUGAGAGGGUGGUCGGCCACAUUGGGACGGGGACACGGCCCAAACUACUAAGGGAGGGAGCAGUAGGGAAACGUCGGCAAUGGAGGGAAGUCUGGCCGAGCAACGCCGAGUGAGUGAAGGAGGGUCUCGGAUCGUAAAACUCUGUUGGUAGAGGAGAACGUUGGUGGGAGUGGAAAGCGCAUCAAGUGACGGUAACUACACAGAAAGCGACGGCUAACUACGUG